UGGCCAUAUAGCGUUGAAACACCGUUCCCGUAUGAUAACCGAAGUUAAGCAAAGUCGAGCCUAGUCACUACCUAGAUGGGUGACUACUUGAGAAUACCAGGUGCUGUAAG